GAUGAACGCUGGCGGCGUGCCUAAUACAUGCAAGUCGAGCGAACAGAUGAGAAGCUUGCUUCUCUGAUGUUAGCGGCGGACGGGUGAGUAACACGUGGGUAACCUACCUAUAAGACUGGGAUAACUCCGGGAAACCGGGGCUAAUACCGGAUAAUAUUUUGAACCGCAUGGUUCAAUAGUGAAAGACGGUUUCGGCUGUCACUUAUAGAUGGACCCGCGCCGUAUUAGCUAGUUGGUAAGGUAACGGCUUACCAAGGCGACGAUACGUAGCCGACCUGAGAGGGUGAUCGGCCACACUGGAACUGAGACACGGUCCAGACUCCUACGGGAGGCAGCAGUAGGGAAUCUUCCGCAAUGGGCGAAAGCCUGACGGAGCAACGCCGCGUGAGUGAUGAAGGUCUUCGGAUCGUAAAACUCUGUUGUUAGGGAAGAACAAAUUUGUUAGUAACUGAACAAGUCUUGACGGUACCUAACCAGAAAGCCACGGCUAACUACGUGCCAGCAGCCGCCGCGG
rnacentral:rRNA from 1 species